rnacentral:rRNA from 1 species
GACGUAGGGGGCCAGCGUUGUUCGGAAUUACUGGGUGUAAAGGGUUCGUAGGCGGUGUGGCAAGUCGGGAGUGAAAUCUCUGGGCUCAACCCAGAGUCUGCUUCCGAAACUGCUGUGCUUGAGUGUGGGAGAGGCGCGUGGAAUUGCAGGUGUAGCGGUGAAAUGCGUAGAUAUCUGCAGGAACACCCGUGGCGAAAGCGGCGCGCUGGACCACUACUGACGCUGAGGAACGAAAGCGUGGGUAGCAAACAGG